rnacentral:other from 1 species
AAUCCCCUGCAAUGUGCGUGGUGGCCUAUAGUUUUUUGAACCAACACCUUAUGACUAGGUGCCCUUCCUUGUUCGUGGUGUGCAUGUCCACCCCCUCCCGCGAGGGAUGGGGUGGAAAGCCUGAAGCAGCAACAGGGCGCUAACUUUUUAUAAGGUUCAAAAAAGUGGUUGUCACGGCAUAGGCGGGGGAGAU